GCGACGUUCGCGGGAGAACCGGCCCAGGCCGGUGCCGAAGGAGCAACCGCCCCGGAAACUCUCAGGCCCCAGGACCGCGAACGAGAU
rnacentral:ncRNA from 1 species